GACGGAGGAGGCAAGCGUUGUUCGGAUUUACUGGGCGUAAAGGGCGCGUAGGCGGCGCGUAAAGUCGGACAUGAAAUCAUUAGGCUCAACCUAAUGGCUGUGUCCGAUACUUACGUGCUUGGAGUGCGGGAGAGGCAGCCGGAAUUCUCGGUGUAGCGGUGAAAUGCGUAGAUAUCGAGAGGAACACCGGUGACGAAGGUGGGUUGCUGGACCGACACUGACGCUGAGGCGCGAAAGCUAGGGGAGCAAACGGG
rnacentral:rRNA from 1 species